GUCAUCACCACGUUGCAGUUAAGAAGCCUUGCCAAUAAAGAACCAGCUUAGAGUAGGGUGCAGUUGCCAUUAACCUUGCAGGCAAUGUCAACAAGUCAGUUAGGACAAAUGUAAGCCAUCUCAGAUGAUGAAUGGCAACUCUCAGAUCCACUUUUGGGAAAACAAUGGAGACCAGGAAAAACGGGCAAACCGGACUAUCUGUGCUCCUGCCUGAAAGAGGGGAGGACAGAACAGGAAAUCAGAGUAUACCGUCCACUACAGGAAAUGAUUCAGCCGAGUCCCUUGCCAGAGGAGUUCCAGUUCAUCAGCCAGUGAGAGGCCCCAAGCAGGAGUGCAGGGGGUGUCUGGGGUCACUCCUCGUAGGAGAUCCUGCUCCCACACCACAGCUCUCCCUGGCUUCAGCUCCUGAUGAAGCUCCCCUCCUCCCUGAGACCCAGAGGUGCUAACACCUUCUCAUUGCUGACAGUCCUAGGGGUUUCAAUGCCUUUUAUGGGUUCCUUAAAACUGUUCACUUUCAAAAACAGCUUAUUUAUUAAAUCUGUUUCCUACGAGGACAUUCACAUACCUAAACGGAGUAACAGACAUGACAGGUGCCUAAAUGUACUGGGUUGCACUUUCAGAAGUGUGAGCAGGUUUAAUGUAAAUUGUAUUGCUUAUCGUGAGUUACGGUCAAGAGAGCUGAACAAACACCAUCAUGGUUUUUCUUUACUGCUGUUGCGUCUGGCUGGUACAGGGAGCUAUUGGAUGGACAAUUCAAAACACAAACAUUUGAAAAACACUUCUUUAUGACUGUUGCCACAAAAUAAAUAGCACAUUAUGUCCAAAAUAAGAAAAGCA